rnacentral:rRNA from 1 species
CAUUAGGUCUCCGUUGGUGACCAGCGGAGGGUCAUUACCGAGUUUACAACUCCCAAACCCCUGUGAACAUACCUUAUGUUGCCUCGGCGGAUCAGCCCGCGCCCCGUAAAAAGGGACGGCCCGCCGCAGGAACCCUAAACUCUGUUUUUAGUGGAACUUCUGAGUAUAAAAAACAAAUAAAUCAAAACUUUCAACAACGGAUCUCUUGGUUCUGGCAUCGAUGAAGAACGCAGCAAAAUGCGAUAAGUAAUGUGAAUUGCAGAAUUCAGUGAAUCAUCGAAUCUUUGAACGCACAUUGCGCCCGCCAGUAUUCUGGCGGGCAUGCCUGUUCGAGCGUCAUUUCAACCCUCAAGCCCAGCUUGGUGUUGGGAGCUGCAGUCCUGCUGCACUCCCCAAAUACAUUGGCGGUCACGUCGAGCUUCCAUAGCGUAGUAAUUUACACAUCGUUACUGGUAAUCGUCGCGGCCACGCCGUUAAACCCCAACUUCUGAAUGUUGACCUCGGAUCAGGUAGGAAUACCCGCUGAACUUAAGCAUAUCAAAA